rnacentral:rRNA from 1 species
CAGCCGCCGCGGUAAUACCAGCUCCGCGAGUGGUCGGGACGAUUAUUGGGCCUAAAGCGUUCGUAGCCGGUCUAGCAAGUCUUUGGUUAAACUUCAAGGCUUAACCUUGAGAUUGCUGGGGAUACUGCUAGACUAGGGGGCGGUAGAGGUUGAGGGUACUUCGCGGGUAGGGGCGAAAUCCUAUAAUCCGCGAAGGACCACCAGUGGCGAAGGCGCUCAACUGGAACGCGCCCGACGGUGCGGGACGAAAGCCAGGGGAGCAAAGGGGAUUAGAUACCCCCGUAGUCCUGGCUGUAAUCGAUGCGGGCUAGGUGUUGGGUUGGCUUCGUGCCAACCCGGUGCCGUAACGAAGGCGAUAAGCCCGCCGCCUGGGAAGUACGGCUGCAAGGCUGAAACUUAAAGGAAUUGUC